rnacentral:rRNA from 1 species
GACGAACGCUGGCGGCGUGCUUAACACAUGCAAGUCGAGCGGUAAGGCCCUUUCGGGGGUACACGAGCGGCGAACGGGUGAGUAACACGUGGGUGACCUGCCCUCAGCUCUGGGAUAAGCCUGGGAAACUGGGUCUAAUACUGGAUAUGACUCCACGGUGCAUGUCGUGGGGUGGAAAGCCUUGUGCGGCUGAGGAUGGGCCCGCGGCCUAUCAGCUUGUUGGUGGGGNGAUGGCCUACCAAGGCGACGACGGGUAGCCGGCCUGAGAGGGCGACCGGCCACACUGGGACUGAGACACGGCCCAGACUCCCACGGGAGGCAGCAGUGGGGAAUCUUGCGCAAUGGGCGAAAGCCUGACGCAGCGACGCCGCGUGAGGGAUGACGGCCUGGUGUAAC